rnacentral:rRNA from 1 species
GACGAACGCUGGCGGCGUGCCUAAUACAUGCAAGUAGAACGCUGAAGCGAGGAGCUUACUCUUCUUGGAUGAGUUGCGAACGGGUGAGUAACGCGUAGGUAACCUGCCUUGUGGCGGGGGAUAACUAUUGGAAACGAUAGCUAAUACCGCAUAACAAUGGAUGACACAUGUCAUUUAUUUGAAAGGGGCAAUUGCUCCACUACAAGAUGGACCUGCGUUGUAUUAGCUAGUAGGUGAGGUAAUGGCUCACCUAGGCGACGAUACAUAGCCGACCUGAGAGGGUGGUCGGCCACACUGGGACUGAGACACGGCCCAGACUCCUACGGGAGGCAGCAGUAGGGAAUCUUCGGCAAUGGGGGCAACCCUGACCGAGCAACGCCGCGUGAGUGAAGAAGGUUUUCGGAUCGUAAAGCUCUGUUGUAAGUCAAGAACGGGUGUGAGAGUGGAAAGUUCACACUGUGACGGUAGCUUACCAGAAAGGGACGGCUAACUACGUG